rnacentral:rRNA from 1 species
GACGGAGGGGGCUAGCGUUGUUCGGAAUGACUGGGCGUAAAGGGCGCGUAGGCGGUUUUUUAAGUGAGGCGUGAAAGCCCUGGGCUUAACCCAGGAGGUGCGUUUCAUACUGGAAAGCUUGAGUACGAGAGAGGAAAGCGGAAUUCCUAGUGUAGAGGUGAAAUUCGUAGAUAUUAGGAAGAACACCGGUGGCGAAGGCGGCUCUCUGGACCGAUACUGACGCUGAGGCGCGAAAGCGUGGGGAGCAAACAGG